rnacentral:rRNA from 1 species
AGAGUUUGAUCCUGGCUCAGGACGAACGCUGGCGGCGUGCCUAAUACAUGCAAGUAGAACGCUGAAGAGAGGAGCUUGCUCUUCUUGGAUGAGUUGCGAACGGGUGAGUAACGCGUAGGUAACCUGCCUUGUAGCGGGGGAUAACUAUUGGAAACGAUAGCUAAUACCGCAUAACAAUGGAUGACACAUGUCAUUUAUUUGAAAGGGGCAAUUGCUCCACUACAAGAUGGACCUGCGUUGUAUUAGCUAGUAGGUGAGGUAAUGGCUCACCUAGGCGACGAUACAUAGCCGACCUGAGAGGGUGAUCGGCCACACUGGGACUGAGACACGGCCCAGACUCCUACGGGAGGCAGCAGUAGGGAAUCUUCGGCAAUGGGGGCAACCCUGACCGAGCAACGCCGCGUGAGUGAAGAAGGUUUUCGGAUCGUAAAGCUCUGUUGUAAGUCAAGAACGGGUGUGAGAGUGGAAAGUUCACACUGUGACGGUAGCUUACCAGAAAGGGACGGCUAACUACGUGCCAGCAGCCGCGGUAAUACGUAGGUCCCGAGCGUUGUCCGGAUUUAUUGGGCGUAAAGCGAGCGCAGGCGGUUUGAUAAGUCUGAAGUUAAAGGCUGUGGCUCAACCAUAGUUCGCUUUGGAAACUGUCAAGCUUGAGUGCAGAAGGGGAGAGUGGAAUUCCAUGUGUAGCGGUGAAAUGCGUAGAUAUAUGGAGGAACACCGGUGGCGAAAGCGGCUCUCUGGUCUGUAACUGACGCUGAGGCUCGAAAGCGUGGGGAGCGAACAGGAUUAGAUACCCUGGUAGUCCACGCCGUAAACGAUGAGUGCUAGGUGUUGGAUCCUUUCCGGGAUUCAGUGCCGCAGCUAACGCAUUAAGCACUCCGCCUGGGGAGUACGACCGCAAGGUUGAAACUCAAAGGAAUUGACGGGGACCCGCACAAGCGGUGGAGCAUGUGGUUUAAUUCGAAGCAACGCGAAGAACCUUACCUAAACUUGACAUCCCGAUGACCAUCUAUGUAAUGCAGACUCUCUUCGGAGCAUCGGAGACAGGUGGUGCAUGGUUGUCGUCAGCUCGUGUCGUGAGAUGUUGGGUUAAGUCCCGCAACGAGCGCAACCCUUAUCGUUAGUAGCCAUCAUUAAGUUGGGCACUCUAGCGAGACUGCCGUGGAUAACACGGAGGAAGGUGGGGAUGACGUCAAAUCAUCAUGCCCCUUAUGUUUAGGGCUACACACGUGCUACAAUGGCUGUCACAAAGUGAAGCGAACCUGUGAAGGCAAGCCAACCACAAAAAGGCAGUCCCAGUUCGGAUUGUAGUCUGCAACUCGACUACAUGAAGUUGGAAUCGCUAGUAAUCGCGAAUCAGAAUGUCGCGGUGAAUACGUUCCCGGGUCUUGCACUCACCGCCCGUCA